CCUACGGGUGGCAGCAGUGAGGAAUAUUGGUCAAUGGGCGGAAGCCUGAACCAGCCAAGUAGCGUGCAGGAUGACGGCCCUACGGGUUGUACACUGCUUUUAUACGGGAAUCACGCGCCUUACGUGUAGGGCUUUGCAUGUACCGUAUGAAUAAGGACCGGCUAAUUCCGUGCCAGCAUCCGCGGUAAUACGGAAGGUCCGGGCGUUAUCCGGUUUUCUUGGGUUUAAAGGGCGCGUAGGCCGCAUGUCAAGCGUGCUGUGAAAUGUCCGGGCUCAACCCGGGCCUUGCAUCGCGAACUGGCGUGCUUGAGUCCGCGGAAAGCAGGCGGAAGUCGUCGUGUAGCGGUGAAAGGCUGAGAUAUGACGAAGAACCCCGAUUGCGAAGGCAGCUUGCUGCAGCGGAACUGACGCUGAUGCUCGAAAGCGCGGGUAUCGAACAGGAUUAGAUACCCUUGUAGUC
rnacentral:rRNA from 1 species